UAGGCCUUUAAAAUCAUAAGCCAAAUGAACUCUUUCUUCCUUAAGUGGCCUGGUGAUGGCAUUUUGUCACAGCGACCUAAAGAAACGGAUGGGAUCAGUGACCCAGAGAGACCGCCCCCCCUCUCUCCACAAUGAAAAUGCAGCUCUCUACAAACCAGGAAGCGUGUCUUCACCAGAUGUUGAAGCUGCUACAGCCUUGUCAUAAGCUUCCUAGCUUCUAGAACUGUCUGUUAGGAAGACCAUGGGCUGUGGAGAAACACAUUUUUAUCAUUUUCACUGAAGAAACUGAAUAUGGAAGCUUCCCCCAAUGCCUUCCCCCAAGGCCUCUGAUGUCACUAGGAUGUAUAAGAGCUGAGGAAGCCUGAUGAGGCUUCCAGGGCCACCACGUGCUGAUGCUACCAAGGCCACCACCACCACCAGUUCUUCUGCCUGGCAGCUCGAGGAGUUUGUAGGAACCACCCUGAUGAAUACAGAAUGGCCACAACUGGCAAUCACCAUCAUAGAGAAUGCCAACCCUGUCCCCACUGAACCUGUAGCCAUUAAAAACAGAACUUAAAAGGUAACGACAUGAAGAACUUACCAUGGCUCUUCUAUCAGUGUCAGCUAUACAAUGGCAGAAGAUGGAUUUCCCCAUGGGGCUAUGAAGCUGCUUGAGUAGCUUGAGGUGCUGGCAACCAUCCCACUGUUCCCUUGUGUUCCAUGACCAGUUCCCCAGCUCUCUAUUGCUUGCCCGCCAUGGCAACCACUCUGUGAUGCUCACUCGUAUAUCCCAGCAGCAUCUGCCUCAAUGGUCCUUCAGGUUAGUCUCAAGCCAUCGGCAUGCCGGUCCAUAAUGACUUCCAUUGACUUGAGCUCUUCAUAUAACUCCUGUGUCUCUUGAUCAAGGUGGCCAUUUAUUAUCCAGAUAAGACACUUCUGAGAACAAGGGAGGUGUUUUCAUAAUAGCAGUGAGCUAGUCAGGCUAAUAAUCUAGGGUCAUUCCCUACAGAUGGGGACACACAAGCAGUUCUUCCAGGGUCAGCCUUGACUCUGCUAUACCAUGUGACUUUUUAGAAAAAUUAUUGUUUGAAAUUUCGUGCAUGAAUAGUGUGUUUUCAUCAGAUUAUCUCUGUUCCCUCAUCAUGCGCAAAAGUCGUAUGUUCCAGUUCCAG